rnacentral:rRNA from 1 species
AACGAACGCUGGCGGCAUGCCUAACACAUGCAAGUCGAACGAGACCUUCGGGUCUAGUGGCGCACGGGUGCGUAACGCGUGGGAACCUGCCCUUAGGUUCGGAAUAACUCCCCGAAAGGGGUGCUAAUACCGGAUAAUGUCUUCGGACCAAAGAUUUAUCGCCUUUGGAUGGGCCCGCGUUGGAUUAGCUUGUUGGUAGGGUAAAAGCCUACCAAGGCGACGAUCCAUAGCUGGUCUGAGAGGAUGAUCAGCCACACUGGGACUGAGACACGGCCCAGACUCCUACGGGAGGCAGCAGUGGGGAAUAUUGGACAAUGGGCGAAAGCAUGAUCCAGCAAUGCCGCGUGAGUGAUGAAGGCCUUAGGGUUGUAAAGCUCUUUUACCCGGGAUGAUAAUGACAGUACCGGGAGAAUAAGCUCCGGCUAACUCCGUG